GAAAUGCGAUACGUAAUGCGAAUUGCAGAACUCAGUGAAUCAUCAAAUCUUUGAACGCAAAUGGCGCUCCCGGGAUAGGCCUGGGAGCACGCCUCUUUGAGUGUCGAUUCAAUCAAACUCAGCGACCUGCGCGAAUUCAUUUUUGUAGUGGGCGCAGCUGAAUAUUGAGUGUCUCACGUGAGUGAGUCACUUUAAGCGGAGCGAGUCUCCUUUCUUCUAGCACCGGUGAAAGCUUCGGCUUUUGCCUAGCCUAGGAUGAGUUUUUGCCACUGCUUAAACUCGUAGCCCUGCUAGUGAUGCGGAUAAUCACAUUCGUGUGUUCCAUCAUGACUAGUAGGAUUGCGGGGUUCGGUCGCAAACGGCUUUAGUGUCCGGCUCA
rnacentral:misc_RNA from 1 species